rnacentral:tRNA from 1 species
UUUGUUGUAGUCUGGUUGGUUAGGAUACUUGGUUCUCACCUAAGAGACUUGGGUUCUAUUCCCGGUAACAGAA